GCUCUGGGGCUGGCUCCGCACCCUGGGCAUCCCUGUGCAGCCAGGCCCUAGCCCGGGCUGGGUCCCCGUGGGCCAGCGCUGCCCCGCAGCAUGUGCCUGGCAGCGCAGACCUGGCCUUGCACAACUUCCCAGCCGGGCCAGCGCGGCGCUUCAGGGACUGGCGCGGAGUCACGCGUGAGUCACUGCAUCGGCCGGGAGCCUGGAGGCUCGGGGCUGCAGCGGGGGCUGCUGUGCCGGUCGGCCCCCUGCGCGCUGCCCGGUGAGAGCGCACGCGAGGGCUGGCGUGYCGCUCGCCUUGGGAACGUUGGUGCUGCCCCUGCGGUUUCCACUUGCCCUUUUGCAGCCCUGAGGAUGGGAGCUGCAGCUGGACAGGCUACGCAGGAGCAGGAACUUGCAUCAGCAGCGGGUUGUGCAACCCCGCGGCAGCUGCGGGGCACCUGGGUGACGGUGCUGCCCUGUGACUCGUGUCGUGGGACCGAGCUGCCUCCCCCGGAGUAGAUGGGAACAGCCCUCCAUCGGGGUCCAGAGGGGUGACUGGGGGCUCCUGCUGUGCCAGCCCCCGGGCGGGAGGCUGCUCUGGCAGUGAGGGCUGUGGGGGGGUGGGAGCCCAGGGCCACAUCCAGGCCGUGGUCAAGUGCCGUGGCUCCUCCGCAGCCGGCCGAGGUGGAAGGGGGCAGAUGAAGAUGCUGGAGGAAGCCUCUGCGCGUGGCGGCACGUGUUCGCCGCCCCACGUCUCUGCUCCAGCCCUGCUGCCACGUGCCAGGAUGCCGGAUGCGGCCGCGCAGGGAUCUGCCAGGGAGCCCCAGGGAGCGCCCAGCCCCGACGGGCAUCCGCUGUCCGACAGCUCCUUGGUGCUGCUGCUGCUGCGACAGGGACUUGACUCAUCCCGGAAGGGAUUAGGGACACGGGAGCUGGGUGACAUUCUGGUCCGACCAGCCUGUCCACCACCGGGAUGGACGUCGCCGUCGGAGCAGGUCCCUGCUGCCCGCUGCCACCGGUGGCCCCGGGGGACAUGGCUGAGCCCCCAGGUCCUGCAGCGCCGCCGCGAUGGCCCGUCUGUCCCUGCUGCUCCUGCUGGCUGCCGGCCUGACGGUGGCCGCGUCCAACCCCGGCCUCAAGGGCAGGGUGACCCGGAGGGCCCUGGACUACGGCCGGCGGUUCGGGCUGGAAACGCUGCGGUCGCUGCUGCAGAAGGAGCACGUGCUCAACCUGACGGGCUCAUACCGCCUGCCGCUGCUGGGGGAGCUCGCCUUCGCCRUGCCCCGGGUGCGCAUCCACGAGCUGCAGAUAGACGACUCCACCAUGGACUUCUCCGAGGACGUGGGAGUGAGGCUCACGGUCCGGGACRCCCGAAUCCGGCUCAGCGCCGACUGGGCGGCCGAGCUCUGGGCGAUGUGAGUCCCCGCGCCGCGGGUCCCCUCCGCGCCGGGCCGGCUCCGCGCGGCGCCCGGGGCUCACGCGCUCUGCCCCGCAGCCGGGACGGCGGCGCCGUGGAGGUCCGCGCGGGCGACGUCACCGUCUCGGCGGUGCUGGGGGUGAGCGUGGAUGCCAGCGGCCGCCCCGCCGUCUGGAGCGCCGGCUGCGACUCCGACAUCGGCCUCCUGCAGCUGGAGUUUCGCCGCGGGCAGAGGUAA
rnacentral:lncRNA from 1 species